rnacentral:sRNA from 1 species
AUAGUCUUGAGAGCACUGAUUGAUCCGU